AUUUCAUCUUCCUUGUGCUCCAGAUAGCUGAUGGCUCUCAACUCAUCAGAACUCAGGCCUAUAUGGAGAAAGGGUUAGCAUCACCUGAUGUUGGUGACCUGGGAAAACUGCAUGAGUCAAGCAGAGAAAAGAAUUGUUAUUUGUCACCUGAAAACUCACUCUCCCCACCCCCAACAGAGGAGUUUUUCAAGACAAUCUGUUCUUCAAGCAUGAUGAUGAUUCUACUCAUUGAAAGGUAGGUGAUCUCAACUUAUUUUCCAGUAGCCCAUGUGUUUUGUUAUUAUUUGCCUUCUGUUUUUUCAUGAAAGAUUUGGGCUGAGUCACCUAAACUCUCUUGUCUUGUUCUCUUUGUGGCGACUGACACAUGUGGCAAGAGAAUAUUUUUAAACAUUAAUAUUUGUGAUUUCUUCUUUUCUUCUCCAUAUCUUUCCUUUAGUCAAGCACAGAUAGCUAUUUUGCCUCUGGGGGGAAAUAGGAUUGUUUCAUGGGAUGGAAAUAAUAAGAAGCAAUCAGUUUUUGGCUUUUUUUUUUUUCUUUUUAAAACUUCCCAAACAAGAUUUUGAGAAUCAAAAGAGAAAACCCUGAGGGUAGGAGGUUAAAGUGUGUAUAUCAUAACAAUGGAUUUGGGAAAAUAGAAAGAAUCAUUCUAUUAUUUCUCUCCGCCUACUGUGUGACCUAGGAUAGCUACAGAGCUGAGGGGUCAAGGAGGAAAGAUGAUUGAGUAUGACCUGAGAGGAAGCCUAUAGUAGCAGAUGAGAGAAUCUGGGGAGACUUUGUGGAGAGGAGCAGGCCAAGUUAGAAGACAUUGAUGGGUCAACCCUGGAAGUCAAGCAGUAUCACUUCCACUGAAUUCUACUGGUUAAGGCAGUUAUAAAGAUUCACUCAGGUUCAAGAUGAGGAACAUAGAUCCCACCUCUUGAUGGAGGAAUGGCAAUGCCAAUCGUAAAGGCAUAUGGGAUGCCAUAUAUACUGUUACAACCUUGAAUGAAAAAUGCCAUCUGCUAGAUUGGCUUCGUGUAUCCAAAGUAUUCUAGAUCAAUAGAGGACGUGGUGGACUCUAACAGUGCGUAAUUCCCAAAGAAAGACAACCAAGAGCUAAAACUGUUCAGUGUUUUAUAAUAAACUUCUUGGCUAUUUUGGAUAAAGUGACA
rnacentral:lncRNA from 1 species